GAACGCUGGCGGCGUGCCUAAUACAUGCAAGUCGAACGAACUCUGGUAUUGAUUGGUGCUUGCAUCAUGAUUUACAUUUGAGUGAGUGGCGAACUGGUGAGUAACACGUGGGAAACCUGCCCAGAAGCGGGGGAUAACACCUGGAAACAGAUGCUAAUACCGCAUAACAACUUGGACCGCAUGGUCCGAGCUUGAAAGAUGGCUUCGGCUAUCACUUUUGGAUGGUCCCGCGGCGUAUUAGCUAGAUGGUGGGGUAACGGCUCACCAUGGCAAUGAUACGUAGCCGACCUGAGAGGGUAAUCGGCCACAUUGGGACUGAGACACGGCCCAAACUCCUACGGGAGGCAGCAGUAGGGAAUCUUCCACAAUGGACGAAAGUCUGAUGGAGCAACGCCGCGUGAGUGAAGAAGGGUUUCGGCUCGUAAAACUCUGUUGUUAAAGAAGAACAUAUCUGAGAGUAACUGUUCAGGUAUUGACGGUAUUUAACCAGAAAGCCACGGCUAACUACGUGCCAGCAGCCGCGGUAAUACGUAGGUGGCAAGCGUUGUCCGGAUUUAUUGGGCGUAAAGCGAGCGCAGGCGGUUUUUUAAGUCUGAUGUGAAAGCCUUCGGCUCAACCGAAGAAGUGCAUCGGAAACUGGGAAACUUGAGUGCAGAAGAGGACAGUGGAACUCCAUGUGUAGCGGUGAAAUGCGUAGAUAUAUGGAAGAACACCAGUGGCGAAGGCGGCUGUCUGGUCUGUAACUGACGCUGAGGCUCGAAAGUAUGGGUAGCAAACAGGAUUAGAUACCCUGGUAGUCCAUACCGUAAACGAUGAAUGCUAAGUGUUGGAGGGUUUCCGCCCUUCAGUGCUGCAGCUAACGCAUUAAGCAUUCCGCCUGGGGAGUACGGCCGCAAGGCUGAAACUCAAAGGAAUUGACGGGGGCCCGCACAAGCGGUGGAGCAUGUGGUUUAAUUCGAAGCUACGCGAAGAACCUUACCAGGUCUUGACAUACUAUGCAAAUCUAAGAGAUUAGACGUUCCCUUCGGGGACAUGGAUACAGGUGGUGCAUGGUUGUCGUCAGCUCGUGUCGUGAGAUGUUGGGUUAAGUCCCGCAACGAGCGCAACCCUUAUUAUCAGUUGCCAGCAUUAAGUUGGGCACUCUGGUGAGACUGCCGGUGACAAACCGGAGGAAGGUGGGGAUGACGUCAAAUCAUCAUGCCCCUUAUGACCUGGGCUACACACGUGCUACAAUGGAUGGUACAACGAGUUGCGAACUCGCGAGAGUAAGCUAAUCUCUUAAAGCCAUUCUCAGUUCGGAUUGUAGGCUGCAACUCGCCUACAUGAAGUCUGAAUCGCUAGUAAUCGCGGAUCAGCAGCCGC
rnacentral:rRNA from 2 species